CCCAAACCGAGGCCCCCGGAGGCUGACGUCACGAUCCGUGGUGGUUGUAAAAGACACGCCCUAGAAACCGGAUCCCGUGCACGCCGCGCCGCACCCAGGGAGGCCACAGCGACCCCCAAAGGGCCGUCCCCGGACGACACUCACUCU
rnacentral:rRNA from 1 species